AGAGUUUGAUCAUGGCUCAGAUUGAACGCUGGCGGCAUGCCUUACACAUGCAAGUCGAACGGCAGCAUGAUCUAGCUUGCUAGAUUGAUGGCGAGUGGCGAACGGGUGAGUAAUACAUCGGAACGUGCCCUGUAGUGGGGGAUAACUAGUCGAAAGAUUAGCUAAUACCGCAUACGACCUGAGGGUGAAAGUGGGGGACCGCAAGGCCUCAUGCUAUAGGAGCGGCCGAUGUCUGAUUAGCUAGUUGGUGAGGUAAAGGCUCACCAAGGCGACGAUCAGUAGCUGGUCUGAGAGGACGAUCAGCCACACUGGGACUGAGACACGGCCCAGACUCCUACGGGAGGCAGCAGUGGGGAAUUUUGGACAAUGGGCGAAAGCCUGAUCCAGCAAUGCCGCGUGUGUGAAGAAGGCCUUCGGGUUGUAAAGCACUUUUGUCCGGAAAGAAAUGGCUCUGGUUAAUACCUGGGGUCGAUGACGGUACCGGAAGAAUAAGGACCGGCUAACUACGUGCCAGCAGCCGCGGUAAUACGUAGGGUCCAAGCGUUAAUCGGAAUUACUGGGCGUAAAGCGUGCGCAGGCGGUUGUGCAAGACCGAUGUGAAAUCCCCGAGCUUAACUUGGGAAUUGCAUUGGUGACUGCACGGCUAGAGUGUGUCAGAGGGGGGUAGAAUUCCACGUGUAGCAGUGAAAUGCGUAGAGAUGUGGAGGAAUACCGAUGGCGAAGGCAGCCCCCUGGGAUAACACUGACGCUCAUGCACGAAAGCGUGGGGAGCAAACAGGAUUAGAUACCCUGGUAGUCCACGCC
rnacentral:rRNA from 1 species